GCCCAGGAAAAGGAGGGGUUUUUGUGAGUGCUGCCAGGAGACCUUUGAAGAGCUGCAGAAGCAUCUCCAGAGCCCCCAGCACCAGCGCUUUGCCCAGGACAGCUCCCAGUACAUCCCUGUGGAUCGUGUCAUCUCCCAGCUCACCAACAGCUUUGAGGAGUGGUCAGCCAGGGUGCCGUGGUCCUGCCUGGCAGAUGAACGUGUAAUGCCUCAAGCACGCAGCACUGGAGGAAUCGAGCUGCCAGCAGAGCUGGGAAAGGAAGUGGAGCAGCCUGAGCAGGGUGCUGUGGAACUGGUAACAGAUCCAGAGCUGGAUCAUGGCCUGAAGACCAAGGGAUGUUCCCCCUGCCUUCCCAGGGACAGGGUCAGAGAUGCCAGAGGAGGCUUGUCAAAGCACAGCUCCCUGCA